AAUGUGCCACGUCAAGACUGGAAAUCACAGCACUUCAGUGUGUUUCAGUUUUACACACUAGGGAAUAAGAAACGCUAAGGGACACUGUGAGAAAGGAGGACUUCAGAAUAAUGCGGGGAAGACAUUCUGGUAAGGCCUACUUUGGAAGAACACCUGGCCUAUGACCUGGCGAACCUAGGUGACUUCCCCCUCCCCCAUUCUUCCAAUCAUCACCGCAAGACAGAUGGAGCUCUGGUGAUUUACUAAAACGUAUGCAAGAAAAAGAGAGGUAUAUCUAUAUCUAUUACAUCGAGAGGUAUACAUAACAUAACUAAGUUCAGUCAUUUCCAUGUAUUUACUUAAAAAUAAAGCUUACUUGUCCCCAAACUAAGAAGGUAAAUUUAAGUUUUGUAGACUAUAGCAAUUGCUAUGAAUAUGUAAGGUAUAACUCAAUUAAAAACAAUUCAGAAAAAUUGAUUAAAAAUAUGAAUUCUGAAUAACCUCUUAUGAGCUAUGUAAUUUUAAAUGACAAUUUAACAAAAGUAUUUCUGCAUUAAAGGGAUAAAAAUAUUAGCAAAGAAUGUGUGAAUAUUAAUAGUACACAUUCUAAAAUAUUUAUUUAUAAAAGGUCACUCAUGACAAAACUGUAAUUAUAUUUGAAAUGAAGCUGAAGCUUCAUUGUAUAUUUAAAAAUAUAUGCAAUAUAUGCUAAUUAAAAAUAAGAAAAAGUGACAGCUAAAUAUAGCAAGACACUUGCCAGGCUUUUGCCCGCUAGAAAAUUGAAAUCUUGGACUGGCAAGGAAUAUCAUCCCUAGGAGAACAGACUGAGAUAGCAAAGCAAUAAAUGAAAAAACAAACCCAGUAACCUUUAAUCUCACAAUACAUGUUUGUGCAUUGUUUACAAAAGCCCAGCACCAAACUAUGGUUGCAGCUUCCUUGUCUAUACUUCGCAUUGCUGAUAUUUCUUCUUGCAUUCAGAAUGAUAAGUUACUUUGUCUCAAUUCCCACUGAUAAAAAUGGAAUUUGUAAACGAAUGCAGAAGUUUUCUUUGGUGAGUUUCCAGCUGUCCUGGUAGGGGAAAAAAGCCCUCAGGCUGAAUGAAAUCCCCAUGGAGAGAAUAAUACAAAAAGUCUGGGCUGCAAUUUGAUACCAGUUGAAAUUCAGAGUCAGCUCCCAGAUAGUUAAUACUGGUAACAAACUACUACAACUCCAAAAAAUAAAAAAAUAAAAAUAAAAUAUACCCCAAAAAGUAUUCCCUUCUAUAUGAUGCUUGUUAUUUAUAGGAAGAUUUUGAAUGAGUAUACUACAAAUAAAAGUACUAUAAAUAACUCCAUUACAAUUACUUUUUGCAAUAUGUAUAAGUAGGGAUUUUUAAGCAACCUUGAUGCUGUGUGAUUUUUAUAAAUAUAUAUAUUAUUACCUUUCUCAGGGCUCUUUCAAAGCUCAAUAAAACCCUUCCGAGGAGCUACUAUCAUGCAGUAUUAACUUCACAGUCCCAACAUGGGUUAUCAUAUAGCUUAUGCAGUGAGAAUUCUCGCUGUCAUUUCCCCUACCAUCCCAUCUAAACUACUGUAUUUUAACUUAAAAAAUUUUUCCUUUACCCAGCUUCUUUGGUUUUAUUUCACAAAAAAUGAUUAUCUUUGGAGCAAAAAUUAUUUUUUUAUUAACAGAUUACAGUGUGACAAGAAGGAUUUUAUUCUUGUAUUUUAGAGUCCUGAUCAGUAAAGUAGUAACACAUUUAAAUGCAAACUUAUUAACAGAAAAAUCAGAAGAGACAUGAAAAGACAAAGGAGUGAAACUGAAUUCAUACAAAUGUUAAACUCUUAUUAUUUUCACUUCUCACAUGAGAGUUGUUUUAGGAAUGGCAAUUCUGCAACGCUUUAUAGUUUAUAUUGUAAAUGGGAGGAAUAAUUUUAGGUUUUAGAAUAUCUGGUUUACAUUAAGACAAACUUACUUAGUUAUAUAAUUCCAAAGGAAAGAGAUUGCUCUACGCAAGCUAUUGCCUUUUUUUUAAUAGUCAAUUUUACAUCUGUCAGAGUUUGCAGACCAGAAUCACAAAUAAGAAAAUUUUUUAUCUAUUCAAUGAGAACCAUUUAAUUACGCUAAUAAUGUUAAAUUAAAAAAGCCUGAGACAACUCCUGUAAUUAGGAAAGAUGAUGAAUGGCAUAUGGAAAUGGUGUGUUUCUCUUCUCUAGUCUAUUAUUUGAAUUAAUCUUUACGUUAAAUGAUCUUUCUGUAUUUAGAAAGUGUUUACUCCCACCUCUCCUCCUCAAAGUUACAUUUUCAGCCUGUAUGGCUGAAGGUGGUUGUGGGGACGACCCCUGGCAUGAGUUUUGGGAAAAGGGAGGGAGAUUGCAGUACACAAAGCAAUAGAUAGGAAAAGAAAGAGUGUAUUGUUAAGGAGCAAGGAAAUAUCUACUCCAGCACAGCAAAAGAGUUUCAUUCGGUGAAUUGAGUAACCGUACUCUUCUUGAUCUUAACCAACCAGUCAGGAAAAAAUAUGUUUCUUUCUUUCUUUCUAUUGCCAACACUUGAUUUGAAACUUAUUGUGAAAGACUAUUUGGGGGAAUGAGUUUAUGAAGUACAGUUUUAAAAUACUCAUACAUGCACAUAAUAUACAAAUUCUUCAAGAACAAGGAUGAAACACUAAGGUUUAUAAUGACUGAGAAAUAUGAAUCAUGUUCAGUGGGAAAUUUACAGUGUGGACAUAGUUUAAUUCAAUCCAAUACUGUAUUCAAAUCUGUUGCAUGCAGUGGAUAGUCUGAUGUGAGAAAAAAAAAAAGUCGGAUUUUAACAGAAAAAGAACAACAGAAAUGGCAAAUUAAAGUAUGUACAACCAUUUCACUACCAACAGAUCAAUAUUGCUGUAUGAUAGAUCAGUUAUUUUGUUUUCUAAGAGCAAACACUUUAUCUGUUACAUCAAACCAAAUUCAAUGGAGGGAGGGUAGGGAAAGAAAUAUUUUCAAGCUUUCUGAUUAGAACACUGCUCCCUUAAUUUUAAAAAGGGAGACCCACACAGGAAUUGAAGGCAGCCAUUUCUUGACCUUACAGAAGUGAAAUAUAAAUCCAAACAAAGGCAUCCAAAGGCAAAAACCAAAACGUUUCUUACAAUGGAAAAGAGUCACAGAUAUUGUUCAAUCUUUCGUCAGUAUGUUGUAUGUUCCCCCUCCCCCAUUGCCUAGGGCUAAUGUGUCCGUAUUUUUGGAAGACUAAAAAAUACUGCCUUCUCCCCCUUCUCAGCGCACAUACACACACUUUUCUCCAGACCACCCAAGUAUCAUUGCUUGGUGGGAACUAUUAUAAGCAACAACAACAAAAGUCAAAUACCAGCAUUUUCAAACUUCUCUAUAUUUUAAAUGGUAAAAGGUGAUGAGAAUGGGGGUGGGGAAUCAAAUAUAUUAAUCGGAAUGUAGAAUAAAUAAAAAAGACACAGACUUCCAAGAGGAUCCAAUUUCUAGUCUUUAAAAAAAACAUUAGAUGAAGUCUUCUUCCCUUUUAGGAAUACCACCUUUUCCUUCUCCAAGAACAUAGCCUUCACCAUGACUUGCAAAAGGUUUUACUUACUAGAACUGUGCUGCAUAGAAAAUUCCAAGUUAAAAUAACAUUAAGGUUUUAACCUGCAAGAGACAGGAAAUACCACAGUUAAGGUUGGAAAACUUCUUAAUUCACUCCAAUGUGCCUUAGUAUUGCAUUUUGUGCUACAUGGUAUAAACUAUCUAAAACCACCCACUUGGAUAAAGACUAGUAGUAGUUGCAAUAUGCAUAAGAUGAGUUACAAAUACAUUUCUGUCUUAACUCUGAAUUUGCUAGCUAUUGACAGUUAUCAGACCCAUUAAUGCUAUUUUAAUAUAUAUGUGCACAUAAACCUACUCUGUUUGUGAAUUUUCUUUUCCUUACUCACUAUUAGUAAUUCAAAAUAUUUCUGUGCUUCCAUAAUACCUUUAAAAUUUAUAUUUACCUAAUGAACCAUAUAUUUUACUUGUGCCCUUUGGUAUAUUGUACAAAUAAAUUUUUAGCCACGUUUUAGAAGUACUAUUAGCAGUUCAGCGCAAGAUCUUUGUAAACAUACCACGGGUGUCUCUUUAAUAACAUAUAACUAAUUAAUUGACCAUAACAGCCUAGUCUUAUGGAGUCCUAAAUGAACUGCUUAAUAUAAAGCAAAAAUAACCUUGCAUCAACUCUACAUUUAUAACCCUUAGUCCAUUUUAGUUGAUGAAGUCUACCUUUGUAUGGUCAAUAAUCACUGACUAGAAAAUUCAAAUCAACUCAUCUCCCACCCUCCCAUAACACCUUCCUCCCCCACUCAGGCACCCCAAUACCUGCUUAUAUAUACUAGUCCAUAUUCUAGGCUAAUGUGGCCUACACAUUCUUGUUUUUGAUCCUCUUGUGUUAUUGAUUCCCAGUGGGUAUUUUUACUGCACAAUUGUUUUGGUAUUUCAAGAAAGCACAAUAUCAAAUCAAACAUACCUAAUUUUCCCCGCAAUGUAAAAAUUUUUAGCACCAAGUCUACAUACUAAAGCAAUUGAAACUUUCAAUGACCAAAGGAACACUAAGUACAGAAAUGCUCUUAAAACUGAUAUGUAACUUAUUUUUCAUGAAAGCAAUUGAUUAGUCCACAUUAUGAUCUUAUACUUUAAGUUUCCUUUUAAAAUGGUCAAGCUGUAGGAGGACAAAAGUACUGAAUUCUAAUUUCACUUGAAAUUCAUUUUUUUUAACUAUUGUAUUUUACCACAAUAAAUGUACAUUGGCUUAGAAUGGGAAAAGGCUUAAGACAUAAUAUGUCAUAUCUGACUUGGCUAUUUAUGUACUGUAAUUUUUAGUUUUAAAAAAAUAGACCUAACUCCAACUUGCUAAAUUUAAAUCUGAAAUUUAUGACUCAGUCUAACUGAUCUAUUAUCUAUAGAUGUGUCAGUUUUCUUUAUAGAAAUAUCAAAUGUAUUAUAUAAUGUAACAUAAUGUAUAAUUAUUUAUAUAAUAUAUUUUAAAAUUGUAAAACAUUUGCUUUUGCCUUUGAUAAAUUCAGGCCUUUUGUGGCCAAUUUUCAGUUAAAUACAGCAUAUGUUUUAAAAACAUCUAAAUAUACGAGAUGUUCACUUCUUGCAUGACAAACAAUGAUGAUUUAAGGAACAGUAUUUUAAAACAGAGUACUUUAAUUUGUAUAAAAGUUGAUGUAGCUUUCUCUUUAAAAAUCUUUUAGUAGAAACCAAUGUUUGAGGUUUAAAUGUCUUUUGAAAUUACGGCAACAUCAAUAAUUUACUGAAAGGCAUAUCAAAUGUAGGUCAAAUUUCACAAAGUCUAUUUUGGUGCUUUACAUAUAUAACAUUUCAGCAAAGAAACACCUUUUGUACGAAAAGUGUUUGUUUGCACAUUUUUGAUUUGUAGCAUAAACUACAUUUAAUUGAAAGACAUAUAUUUUAAGCCCAGGACUGCUCUUUUAUUUUGGUUUUCACAUAUAGAAAUUACUCAUUUUGAAAGAAAUAGGAAUUAAAAUUAUAUGCUAAACAAAAUAUUAGUGAAAUAUGCUCCUUUUGAUUGUUCCAAAGCAAAAGCCUCACACAAAUUUUUUUUACACACACACACACACACACACACACACACACACACACACACACACUCUCUCUCUCUCUCUCUCUCUCCUUCCAGAAUAUUCUUUAUUGGGACAUUCUACAUAUGGCUGCUUCCAUCUAUACAGCAUUAUUUGGUUUUGUUUUCAAGUAUUUAAGUUUACGGUACUUAUCUAUUACUCGAAAAUAUGUACUGUAUAAACAUAUCCUUUAUCUUGAACUUCAGUAUUUCUGUGUUUCCAAGAAGAGUAAAAACAUCUGGUUAAAUCACUACAUGCUGUGCAAGUACAGUAUCUGGGAAAACUCGUGUAUGAACUGGAUUUAAAAUAAACCAUGGUUUAAAUCAUUGUUCUUUUUAAAAUGUUAAAUGUGACCAUUCUGUUGAAAUCCUACCCCAUAUGCAUGUCAGCAUAAUUAUAACUAAUGUAAAAUGCAUAUUUUCUGAAUAAAGUCAAACAUUGUACUUGUUCCACAGCUCCCUAAUGUUUUAAAGUUUAAUUCUGUUAUGUGUGUUUCCCCCCAACAAAGUCCCCAAAUCUGGAAUGGUACAGACUGAUUCUUAUCAGCCGGUGAGGAAAGGACCCCUGAUGGAUCCAAGGGACUGGCUGGACGGAGUUGUCAUGUGUCUGCCUGUCUACACUUGCUGUGCAGAACAUCCUCUCACCUGUACAGCAGGCACAGACAGGCAGUCACAUGACAACCCAGCCUGAAUGACAACCAGCCAAUGAGAGAGCAGCUCUGACAGACUAUAGCAUCUUCACCAAGAGCUACAGGAAAGAGUCACUUUUGGAUUUAAGUCUGCUGGUUCAAUAAUUAAUUCAUGUGUACUUUUUAUUAUUAACUUGGUCAGCAUAUUGAAAUCCACCCAGAGUAAAAUGAACGGUGCCUAUCAAAUACAAUAAAACCCACUGCUGAAAUUUU